rnacentral:lncRNA from 1 species
ACUUUUUGAAAUUUUGGAUCCUCAAUGCUCUUCAACUUUGUACUUAUUUGGCUGUAUAAAUAUUUCGAUUUGAGCGUCACUGAUGAGUCUUAUGUAGACGAAACGUGCAUCUGGCGUACUAAAUUAUCAUCCUGGUACUUUUGAUAACUAUUAUUACCAAAGUUAAGAUGAUAGUGCAUCAUGUGCAAUGAUACUCAUGUAUUACAACUUCCCUGGUCUGAAUCCAAUAACUUCUUCAAUCAGUGUACACAUGUACAGGUGAAACUAAAUAUACAUUUUCCAUUUUUACAGGAAAAUGAUAUUAUUUCAUCUAAGAUUGUAUUGGCAUAAAAAAAUCCCAAUUAGGAUAAAAAUUCCCAAUUUGAUGUUCAAGGGACCCAUUUGAAAACACCUGGAAUCAUCCCUGCAUUAUUCAUAUAUACAAAUAUGACUGUUUCUAACCCC